rnacentral:rRNA from 1 species
AGUUAAAAAGCUCGUAGUUGGAUUUCGGGUGGGUUCUAGCGGUCCGCCUAUGGUGAGUACUGCUAUGGCCUUCCUUUCUGUCGGGGACGGGCUUCUGGGCUUCACUGUCCGGGACUCGGAGUCGACGUGGUUACUUUGAGUAAAUUAGAGUGUUCAAAGCAGGCUUACGCCAGAAUACUUUAGCAUGGAAUAACACGAUAGGACUCUGGCCUAUCUUGUUGGUCUGUAGGACCGGAGUAAUGAUUAAGAGGGACAGUCGGGGGCAUUCGUAUUUCAUUGUCAGAGGUGAAAUUCUUGGAUUUAUGAAAGACGAACUACUGCGAAAGCAUUUGCCAAGGAUGUUUUCAUUAAUCAAGAACGAAAGUUGGGGGCUCGAAGACGAUUAGAUACCGUCGUAGUCUCAACCAUAAACGAUGCCGA